rnacentral:rRNA from 1 species
AGCAGUCGCCGCGGUAAAACGUAGGUGGCAAGCGUUGUCCGGAAUUAUUGGGCGUAAAGCGCGCGCAGGCGGAUCGGUCAGUCUGUCUUAAAAGUUCGGGGCUUAACCCCGUGAUGGGAUGGAAACUGCCAAUCUAGAGUAUCGGAGAGGAAAGUGGAAUUCCUAGUGUAGCGGUGAAAUGCGUAGAUAUUAUGAAGAACACCAGUGGCGAAGGCGACUUUCUGGACGAAAACUGACGCUGAGGCGCGAAAGCCAGGGGAGCGAACGGGAUUAGAUACCCCUGUAGUCCCUGUCUCUUAUACA